GAUGAACGCUGGCGGCGUGCUUAACACAUGCAAGUCGAACGAAGCACUUUAUUUGAUUUCCUUCGGGACUGAUUAUUUUGUGACUGAGUGGCGGACGGGUGAGUAACGCGUGGGUAACCUGCCUUGUACAGGGGGAUAACAGUUGGAAACGGCUGCUAAUACCGCAUAAGCGCCCAGCAUCGCAUGAUGCAGUGUGAAAAACUCCGGUGGUAUAAGAUGGACCCGCGUUGGAUUAGCUAGUUGGUGAGGUAACGGCCCACCAAGGCGACGAUCCAUAGCCGACCAGAGAGGGUGACCGGCCACAUUGGGACUGAGACACGGCCCAAACUCCUACGGGAGGCAGCAGUGGGGAAUAUUGCACAAUGGGCGAAAGCCUGAUGCAGCGACGCCGCGUGAGCGAAGAAGUAUUUCGGUAUGUAAAGCUCUAUCAGCAGGGAAGAUAAUGACGGUACCUGACGAAGAAGCACCGGCUAAAUACGUG
rnacentral:rRNA from 1 species